GGUAUUGUUUGCCCCACGAUAGGCCCCGGAAAGUUUUAUCGAGUGUCAAACAGACA
rfam:Lactobacillus siliginis strain DSM 22696 Scaffold7, whole genome shotgun sequence.